UGCAACUUAGUUUAAAUAGAACAGUUAACUUGCACUUAACAAGUGAUUUUUCAGUAGC
rnacentral:tRNA from 1 species